rnacentral:rRNA from 1 species
AAGAGACAGCAGUCGCCACGGUAAUACGAAGGGUGCAAGCGUUACUCGGAAUUACUGGGCGUAAAGCGUGCGUAGGUGGUGGUUUAAGUCCGUUGUGAAAGCCCUGGGCUCAACCUGGGAAUUGCAGUGGAUACUGGGUCACUAGAGUGUGGUAGAGGAUAGUGGAAUUUCCGGUGUAGCAGUGAAAUGCGUAGAGAUCGGAAGGAACAUCUGUGGCGAAGGCGACUAUCUGGGCCGACACUGACACUGAGGCACGAAAGCGUGGGGAGCAAACAGGAUUAGAUACCCCGGUAGUCCCUGUCUCUUAUAC